rnacentral:ncRNA from 1 species
GAAGUGUUUGAUUUUGGCUCGAUUUUUUACGUUAUUAUUAAAAUUGCAUGAAAGUUAUAGCAUGUUUGGAAAGCUUAGUUAUAUAUUAGGUUUAGAAUAGUGAGUAAGUAAAUUAUAAAAUUAUAUGGUCUCAGCAUAAAUUAUUAAAAUGGUAUACAAAAGUAUGAAUUAGUAGUAAUAUAUAAGAUCUGAUAAAUAUUUGUGCCAGCAUUCGCGGUUAUACUUUAAGGUUAAGUAAAAGUUGUUAGGGGGUAGUUAAAUGUUUGAAAUUUAUAAUGAAAGUUAUUAGCAGUAAAGGGUAAAAUUGAGUUGCUGUUUAUGUAUUGUUUGUUAGGUAAAUUUUAAUUGAAGCUAGGAAAAUCUGGUUAUAAACUAGGAUUAGAUACCCUAUUAUUCUAGAAGGAAACCUGAGAGACUCAAUUAGUAAAAGAUAUAUACUUAAAAAUUAAAAAAUUUGGCGGUGAUUUAAUCUUUUCAGAGGAAUUUGUUUCUUAAUCGAUAAACCACGAAAAAUCUUACCUAUUUUUGUUUUCAGUUUGUAUACCAUCAUUAUCAGGUAAUUCUUAGAGGAUAAAAUUACUAGGUAUAAAUGAUUAUGGAAAUUAGAUCAUGGUGCAGCUAAUAAGUAGGUUGAAAUGAAUUACAAUAAAUUGUUUUAUAAUGAAUUAGUAAUAGAAAGUUACUAUGAAGGAGGAUUUGAUUGUAUUGUAAGUUUAAUAAGCUUACAGGACAUAAGCUCUAAAUCAUGUACAUAUCGCCCGUCGCUUUCAUCUAUAAAUGAAAUAAGUCGUAACAUAGUAGGUGUAUUGGAAAGUGUACCUAGAAUUAC